rnacentral:rRNA from 1 species
UACGUAGGGUGCGAGCGUUAAUCGGAAUUACUGGGCGUAAAGCGUGCGCAGGCGGUUCUCCAAGUCCGUUGUGAAAGCCGGGCUCAACCUGGGAAUGGCAGUGGAAACUAGGGGACUGGAAUCUGGCAGAGGGGGGUGGAAUGCCGCGUGUAGCAGUGAAAUGCGUAGAGAUGCGGCGGAACACCGAUGGCGAAGGCAGCCCCCUGGGCUGAGAUUGACGCUCAGGCACGAAAGCGUGGGGAGCAAACAGG